AUUUUGUAUAUAAUUUUUAUUCUAGAAAACCUCUACAUUAUUUUAGGAAUAAUAAGGAGUUGCAUCACUGUCAUGCUCAUUAGUACCAAACAUAGUUCAAGCUUGCAUACUUAUUGGCCUUUGAAGCUUCUAAAACACUAAAAGAAACUAAAGGUUAAAACAAAAAGAGAAAACCAGAAACUAAAUAGGAGCUGUGUUUUGUAAAUUUUUAGUGCUUUCUUUGUGUUUAGGUUUUGUUGUAUGUAUGCUAAAGGGCUGUGUCUAAUUUGGUCUUUCUAUCACUAGGUAUUUCUUACUCAGUUGUUUUGUUGAGCAAAUUGAAAUUAAGCCUUGCUUCAUGAAUUGUUUAUUUUAAUUAUAAUUAAUUUGGUCUUUCUGUCACUAUUCCCCUUCUUGUGCUCUCUUCAUGUUCCUCUCUACUCGCGGUUCUUCAUGCUAGUCAGGUUCUUCUCUUCGCCUUGUUUUUCUCGCGUUCCUAUUCUCGCCUUGUUAGCUUGCAUUAAUUCAGGUAGUAUAUUUUUUAGUUGAGUUUUUCUUUUUCUGCUGAGAUUUUUUCAUUCAUUUCUGUUUUCAACAUAGUUUACCUCAUGUUCCUCUCUUUCUCUGUUCUUUGCACUGUCUUGGUUACUUCUCUCUACAUUUUGCCAGAAAAUUACAUAGUACAAGAUCUGGUUUCAUUCUGCAUUUGAUCUGCAACCAAACUUGUUUCAUUUCAUUAGCUUGUUCCUGAAGAUGAAUGCGCAUGAUCAGUCCCUGGAUUUGGAGAAAUAGAUUCUGGUUCUGACAAUGACACAUAAAUCAUGUGUCUUCUCAUUACAAGAUCCAUAUUCAGAUUCAGAUGUUAGUAGAGAGAAUGCAGGGAAGAGGAUGAAGCACGGGUUAAAAAAGCGCUUGUGACACUGUGAACUUCACAGAAGAAAAGAUUAGUUUGACGAGAGAACAACUAAAUUAGACCUCUUGAUCAACACCGAAUGUUCUGUUCCAAUAAGGAUACUCUUCAACCUCCUUUACACCCUCAUGAGCUUCUUCAUCUCCGCACAGCUACUCUUCAACCUCGAGCUCCCACUCUCUCUCUCUCUCUCUCUCUCUCUCUCUCUCUCUCUCUCUCUGACACACACACACACACACACACACACACACAGUUUUGAUUUUUUGACCUUUUUGUCUCCUCUUUCUGUGAUGCACAGCACGAUUUCGAUGCGCCGCUCAGAGUGACGUUGCUUUCUUCUAGAGUGUUCCACUCGUCGGAGGCAUUCAAAUUGGACUACGAGAAGAUGGAGAAGGAGUUGAGGGUGUUUGUGUACCCUGACGGUGAUCCUGAGACCUAUUUCCACACGCCGAGGAAGGUCACCGGGAAAUAUUCCAGCGAAGGUUAUUUCUUCAAGAACAUCAAAGAAAGUCGUUUCUUCACUGCCGAUUCUCUUCAAGCUCACCUCUUCUUCAUUCCUAUUUCUUGCCACAAAAUGCGAGGCAAGGGGUUGACUUAUGAGCGUAUGAUUUAUGAAAUUGGGAAGUAUGUGGAGAGCUUAAAGUUCAAGUAUCCUUAUUGAGUGCUGAUCACUUUUUUGUGACUUGCCAUGCUGAAUAAUGACUAUAAGAAAAUUAGACCUCUUGAUCACUAUUUCACUAGUGGUUUAAAUGGAUAUGUACUAUGCCAAGAAUACACCACUGGAGAUUUUGCCCAGAUAUAAUUAUCAUGGUAUGUACAAGGAACAAGCUACUAGGAUUUGGAGAAAAAUAUAUCCAAGUCAAUUGAUAAAACUUGAAACAAAUAUAUUUAGCUUUUUUAUUUUGAGUCCAUGUAUUUCGUUUAGAGGUUUAGAGGUCUUAUUUAAUUAUCUUUCCAUGUUUUGAUGUUUUCAUAUUGAAUUAGAGAUUGUUACAUGAUAAUGUAUUUGAAAUAUUUUAACUUGAUAAUAUAUAUCCAAGUAGAAUAA